rnacentral:lncRNA from 1 species
CCGUUCCGUUGGUCUGAUUUGCUGCGUUUUUCGGAGGUGUGUAGUUACCCGAGAGAUUGUCGAUCAGUCCAGUUUGAUCCGCCACCUGAUCUUGUAAUGUUUCUAUGAAUGAGCUGUCAAGAUCACGACAUACAGCAGUCAGAACAAAAGACAAACCCCGCACCGUUAAGGGGGAUAUGGGACUCACGUGCCUCUUCCUCCUGAUUUAAAACGCUAUUUUCAUCUGUCAUUUCCGGGAGUAGGCUUUCAAUCGUUGACCAAUGAAAAGGUGCGUAUCAUGUGGCUCUGACUUACUUGGCUGACGCCAUGUCAGGAUUGUAACAACCGCUGUUGGCCACCUCCGAGGAUUCGGCUGACACACUGGCUGUGCAGCGACUGAUAAGGAGUCUCAGACCCGCCAGCCAGUUUUCAAAGUCGCGAUGAACGCUGCUUAUCAAUUCGAAUGUCUGCAGCAUCAACGUGCAGAGACGUGCGGCCGGAGCUAGAGAUGUGAUCAUUGACUGCGUCGUGCGAGUGCUCCAGCAUGACCAUUUUCAGCGAAACAUUUCUCCAGGAAUUCGUGCACCUGUGUGCCUGAGGCAUUUCUAAGCUCUUUUUCUGAUUCACAAUCUGAAACGACUUUGAUCGAGUCCCGUUACGUCUGUAAUUGUGAAGCCGUCAUGAGCGCAUAAACAUGCAGGCAAAUGUGCGCGUGCCUGAGUGAAACUUGCACUAUACGUGUCCUGUCUGUGUUAUAGCUAAUCUUAUAAAACCGGUGACGAAAGAUACAAGUAAACAAGAACAAAGGUGAGCUGUCAGGCUUACCUCCUCAUGCUUGGUGAAGAUCGUAAGCGAAUGGAAAUUAGCUUCGCCAUCGACAUUUGGGACGACCUCGACCACAUCUUUUAGUGGUACUGUUUGAGAAAAGGAAAACAUCACUUAACGCGCAAAUCGUUAGACUGGCUGGCGUAGUUUUCACUCACAUAUUAUCUUGCGCCCAUCUCGAAGAAUUAGAAACAGUACGUUUGGUCGUAUAAAGUGGGUUGUCCGUACGUACCACUCUCAUCCUCGAAUUUUCAAGCUAAUUAGAAGACAUUCUUUGAAUGCAGAAGUAAAAACUGACACGGGGUAGAACUAAGGAUUCUACUGAGACCAAGAACAACGAGCCUUCCAAUUAACCAAUCAGUAGCCUCAGGAUUUAAAACCAUUGUCGUACGUGAACGUUGGUCCGACUCUUCACAAAGCUGCCUCCUGUUGUCUCACGUUUUGUUUACUCGUACCAAGAACAACUACGGAAGUCCAUGCAGAAAGACAGUCCUAAACGGCUGUCUUUAUUGAUUUUGGGUGUUGCUUUCCCGUUCCUUUUCACGGCGACCGGAUUACUGGACUCGGAGAGGUACAGAUCUUUACUGUUUUUUCGGCUACCGGUUCAAGACAAAACUGGUAUUUCGGUCAAGUGCUAAUUUCCGCAUGAUGGGUGUAGAUAUCCCGUUCAUAGUUAACUCAGACGGGGCGGGGCGCGUGAACGUUUCAUGUUGGAAACUCGCGCCACAGUGUAUGGCCACGUGCUGGGCUUGCCGAUUGCCACCCGCAGGAGCGCUUACUUGUCUCGUUCAUAUCAACGAAUUCGGUUUGCUCUUCGUUCCAUCUGCAAUCGGCAUGUUAACAACAGUCGGUAAUUCUGAUUGCAGUGACACGAUACUUCGUCGGUGUGCGUGUGUGAGUGGAAAUUUACAGGCUGUAAUGUGAUCACGCGUGGGAGCAGUCACCAGCCUUCCGGUCUUACUCGAUUGAGGGGACACAGCCGAUCUGUAAAUAUUCCUCCGAGGGAUGUAGCUUCACCCAGCAGGUGUUGACGCUGUUGGUUGGAUCCAGCUGGGCUUCAUCCGUCACCGAUUCGCGCGAACGACGCUACAGCGCACCACGACACACUCGCGGAGGGCUCGUGGUAGAAGAAGGCUUCAGAGCGCACUAUUCCCUGCUUGUCUAUGCGAAGAAUAAAAGUGAUUCUGGCGGACUGUAUACCUUUCUUGUUGAACAAACUAGAUGCUUCGUGUGCUUACACACAGCGCGAUUGUUGUUUCUCCGAGGAGCGGCAAACGCACAAAUACCGGAAACGCGGCAGUAUGCGUUUCACAACAGGAAACUCGAGAGCUAGCUGAAAAAAAAUUUUUGAACAUUUUCUGCCCUAUGUGUGAAAAGACGUGUAAGCAGAGACUCGCUUGUUUUCCGGCUGUGGCAGCCCUGCUUGCAGAUCGUGUAGAGUUAGUUCUGCUUGGCGUUCGUGGAUGACCAGGUCUGCAAUAUUCACGUGAUAUGAAAUACGCGGAACUGUGCUGGUUUUGGGAAAAAUGAGGAUGCAGAAGCUCAGUGUGGUGCCACCAAGCUAAACUAACUGUGCCUGACGCAUAUGGAAAAGCUUUUUUUCCGACCUGUGGACAUGCAUUAGCCAAUGCACUUGUGACGAAGAAUGUGAAUAAUAAUGAACGUUCUGUUGGUUUAAAUCCGACCACUGGUGCGAGUGGCUCCGCAUUUGCUUUGCUAUAUAAACGUAUUUCCCA